AUCCUUAGUAUUCAUAAAAGAGUAGUCGAGAAGUUCCCGGAUGUCCUACUGCUUCUGCCCAGCUUCUUGAGUGCUCGCCGAUGGAUACUUUUCUAUCCCAGGAGGCCACGCGAGAGGAUACAUCAUAAAGAAGAAGAAGAGGAUGCGUCAUAAUCGAACAUGGCGGAAAAUUUGGAUGAGGGUGUUUACAAAUGGACAGAUGAGCACACACGUCUGCUUAUAUACAGCGGCUAAUGAAGCCCUCUUCACCAGAAAGCGGAAUGCUGCCAUCAAAGACUUUGAAGCUUUUGUGGUGGAGCAGAACCUGCAAGG